AUGAACGCUGGCGGCGUGCCUCAUACAUGCAAGUCGAGCGGACAGAUGAGGAGCUUGCUCCUCUGACGUUAGCGGCGGACGGGUGAGUAACACGUGGAUAACCUACCUAUAAGACUGGGAUAACUUCGGGAAACCGGAGCUAAUACCGGAUAAUAUAUUGAACCGCAUGGUUCAAUAGUGAAAGACGGUUUUGCUGUCACUUAUAGAUGGAUCCGCGCCGCAUUAGCUAGUUGGUAAGGUAACGGCUUACCAAGGCAACGAUGCGUAGCCGACCUGAGAGGGUGAUCGGCCACACUGGAACUGAGACACGGUCCAGACUCCUACGGGAGGCAGCAGUAGGGAAUCUUCCGCAAUGGGCGAAAGCCUGACGGAGCAACGCCGCGUGAGUGAUGAAGGUCUUCGGAUCGUAAAACUCUGUUAUUAGGGAAGAACAAAUGUGUAAGUAACUAUGCACGUCUUGACGGUACCUAAUCAGAAAGCCACGGCUAACUACGUG
rnacentral:rRNA from 1 species